UACGAAGGGGGCUAGCGUUGUUCGGAAUUACUGGGCGUAAAGCGCACGUAGGCGGAUAUUUAAGUCAGGGGUGAAAUCCCAGAGCUCAACUCUGGAACUGCCUUUGAUACUGGGUAUCUUGAGUAUGGAAGAGGUAAGUGGAAUUCCGAGUGUAGAGGUGAAAUUCGGUAGAUAUUCGGAAGAACACCAGUGGCGAAGGCGACUCACUGGACACGUAUUGACGCUGAGGUGCGAAAGGCGUGGGGAGCAAACAGG
rnacentral:rRNA from 1 species